UACGGGGGGGCAAGCGUUGUUCGGAAUUACUGGGCGUAAAGGGCUCGUAGGCGGCCAACUAAGUCAGACGUGAAAUCCCUCGGCUUAACCGGGGAACUGCGUCUGAUACUGGAUGGCUUGAAUCCGGGAGAGGGAUGCGGAAUUCCAGGUGUAGCGGUGAAAUGCGUAGAGAUGUGGAGGAACACCAGUGGCGAAGGCGACUUUCUGGGCUGUAACUGACGCUGAGGCGCGAAAGCGUGGGGAGCAAACAGG
rnacentral:rRNA from 1 species